rnacentral:rRNA from 1 species
UACAGAGGGGGCAAGCGUUGUUCGGAAUUACUGGGCGUAAAGGGCGCGUAGGCUGCCUGUUAAGUCGAACGUGAAAUCCCCGGGCUCAACCCGGGAACUGCGUCCGAUACUGGCAGGCUUGAAUCCGGGAGAGGGAUGCGGAAUUCCAGGUGUAGCGGUGAAAUGCGUAGAUAUCUGGAGGAACACCGGUGGCGAAGGCAGGUCUCUGGGCCACUACUGACGCUGAGAAGCGAAAGCAUGGGGAGCGAACAGG